AACGAACGCUGGCGGCAUGCCUAACACAUGCAAGUCGAACGAGACCUUCGGGUCUAGUGGCGCACGGGUGCGUAACGCGUGGGAACCUGCCCUUAGGUUCGGAAUAACUCCCCGAAAGGGGUGCUAAUACCGGAUAAUGUCUUCGGACCAAAGAUUUAUCGCCUUUGGAUGGGCCCGCGUUGGAUUAGCUAGUUGGUAUGGUAAAAGCCUACCAAGGCGACGAUCCAUAGCUGGUCUGAGAGGAUGAUCAGCCACUCUUGGACUGAGACACGGCCCAGACUCCUACGGGAUGCAGCAGUGGGUAAUGUUGCACCAUGGGCUAAAGCCUGAUCCAGCAAUGCCGCGUGAGUGAUGAAGGCCUUAGGGUUGUAAAGCGCUUUUACCCGGGAUGAUAAUGACAGUACCUGGAGAAUAAGCUCCGGCUAACUCCGUG
rnacentral:rRNA from 1 species